rnacentral:lncRNA from 1 species
UCCCCUGAUCUUUUUAUUUUUUUUUUUAAAUUUUGGGACAGAGUCUCACUAAGUUGCUGAGGCUGUCCCUGAAUUUGCCAUCCUCCUGCCUCCACCUCCGGAGUAGCUGGGGUUACAGGACUUGAAGAGGGAAAGAAUGCAUCCAAAGACACACCGCUCCUGGCUCCCAUCUGCUUUUAGAAUUAGACGCUCCCUCAAUCCAGGAGCUCAGGGAAGAUAACAAAUGAUCCUAAUUUCAACAUCUUAAUAUAAUCACCAUAGCCCUUUGGAGCACUUCCUUCUAAUCAUUUUUCUUAUACAUUAGAACCACUCCGAUCAGACCAGAUCAUCUCAGUGCAUAUACUGGAGAUGCCAAUUUUUGGAUGGUUAAUUUUAAAUGUCAACUCGGCUGGGCCAUGAUGCUUGGAUAUUUGGACAUUAUUCUAGAUGUUUCUGUAAGGACAUUUUUGGAUAAAAUUUACAAUGAUGGACUUUGAGUAAAGCAGUUUAUCCUCUAUGAUGCUAUGGGCCUCACCUGAGCUGUUGAAGUCCUGACUAGAACAAAGGUUGACCUCCCCCAAGCAAGAGGGAAUCCUCCAACAGAAUGCCUUUGAACUUCAUCUGCAACAUGGGCUCUUCUGGGUUCUAUAGUAGACUGCCUUUGGACUUCAACUGCAACUCUUUGCUAUGUCUCUAGUCUGUUGGCCUCCUCGGUUGGACUUUGGAUUCACCAAGCCUCCAUAAGGUAAGGGAAGGCACCUGAUCAAAAUAAAUCUCUUUACACACAUGCACCAUACC